UUUCAUUUAAGAAUUUUAUAUUUAUUUUUAUUUUUGUUCAUAUCACCGACCGAGAGAGAAAUAAGAAUUUUUCAGAUGCUCGGUCGGUGAUAGAAGUCAUCUUUAUCAGAUUUCCUUUCUCUUUGCUUUUCAACUAUGGCAUAAAAAUGCUCAUCCUACGGUGAAGUCUCAAUUUUGGGCAAGGUAAUAUUUUGCAAAUCUUAUUCUCAUAUGUUCUCGGAUGUAGUGAUCUUAUAUAUACAGUUCAAUUUUGAAGAGUAAAUGAAAUCGUUGAUGAAGUUGUUGUCAAUGAUGAUAAUAACGGAGUAAAUUGUUUGCGUGUUUAAUAAUUAUUGAAUGUUAAAUUCAUUUUUUGCAUAUGUAGAUGUUAGAUACCAAUGUUUGAUUUUUUUUAUCGAAAAGUUCUGUAGCAUCUCACAAAUGCAUCACCACUGUUUAAACAAACAUUCGAUUUUGCAUGUAAAAAUGCAGUCUGCACAUACAUGAUUGAUACAGAAGAUGGAGGUCUCAACAUUUUAGCGAGGCACAUUCAGUAUGAGUAAUUGAAAUUUUUAAAGAAAUGCAUUUGAUAUUUGGUACUUGUUAUCGUAAAACAAUAUAACCCCCUUUAUAUUUGGAUUCAACUCUGUUUUUCAGCUAAUACUAUUUUUGAGUCAGUACUGUAGGAUUAAUAUAGACUGGUGCUUGGUAACUUUUGAAAAGAAGAUGUGAUUGCACAUGUAAAGUAACACAUUCCUAGAUUUCUAGGAUAUUAAUUCCCUCUUCCUCUUCACUAGGCAAUUUGAGUGCACUUUAUAUUAUGUUUUCAAGUAAACUUAUGUAUUCCCUUUGUUAGUCCCAAAUUGUUCAUAAUCAUUGUGUUUAUGAUUAAAUGCCAAGAAGACAUUUUUAUCAUCUGAAAUCUGUGAAUGGCAUUUUUCAUCUAUUUCUUCAUUAUGGUUAUGACUGCCACAAGCAACAAAGUAUCACUCCGACUUCAACUCUUUGAAGACAUGACUUCAAUGGAGGAUGAUGAAAAUUGAAUAAGGAACUUGAAGGCCUAAACUUCCAUCGAGACUACCUAUCGAAAUUUGUAUACAUGAGAUUCAUAGAUGAACAUUUUAGGCUUGUGACAUUAUUAUAUAUUAUUACUAUCAGAAGGAUCAGUGUUUCUUACCUCUGCUGUAUUUCGUGGUGUUUCUUCGGAUACGUUAGCAUGCUUCAUUGGAUUGGUAGGAUUAUCUGUGUGCCCUUGUUCCUUUGUUGCAGUGGUAUAAACAGAUAUAAUAGUCAAGAUUAGAAGGAAAGGACAAACUAUAACGACAUCAGUUGCAUCUCUCCACCACCAAGGAAAUGUGCUACUACUUAAGUUUGAUAUUUAUGAUUUAUGUACAACUAAUAAUAUGAACGUAUGUACAAUAGUAUUGUGCUUCAUUUAUUGAUCUCUCAAUAAAAGGUAAGAUUUAUGUCUCCC